GCAUACUGCCGUGAAUACGUUCCCGGGCCCGUUGUACACACCGCCCGUCACACCAUGAGAGUUGGGGAUACCCGAAGCCUGUGAGCCAACAGUUUCUGAGGCAGCAGUCGAAGGUAGAAUCAAUGAUUGGGGUGAAGUCGUAACAAGGUAAC
rnacentral:rRNA from 1 species